UCCGGUCUCUUCCCGCCUUGGUCCGCCCAUGCCUACGGCGUCUCUCUCGCGCUGGCCAAGAGCUUUCCUUGCUUUUGACGAACUCCAAGUACGAGAAAAAUGUAGUGCUGCUUGGUCAGAUUUGAACUUAAGAUGAUCUAUUUUUAUUGCUCACGUUUAAGUUUUCUCUUCCAAUCAACAGGUUUAGACCCAGAGAUUGCCUAACAAUGAAGAAAGUGGGAAAUGUUGGAGAGCUCAUGGUUAUGGAAGUUGGUGGUGGUGUCAGCAUCCAAAGGAAACUUUUGACAGCUUCAUGGGGGAGGAGCAAAUCAUGGUUUCCACGACCCCUUUGAGUUUCUCCGUAUUUCUUACCAUUUCCAAGGGCCAUGGAUAUGCAUUGCAAAGUUGAUAUGGCUCACAACAAUCCUUCAAUGGCAGUAUUUCAUUAUGUACAUUCUAAACCUCAUCAUUCAAUCUAGCAACACCCAUAAGCCAAGUAGUGGGCAGAGGAG